rnacentral:snRNA from 1 species
AUACCUUUCUCGGCCUUUUGGCUAAGAUCAAGUGUAGUAUCUGUUCUUAUCAGUUUAAUAUCUGAUAUGUGACUCAUUGAGUCACACGAUAUUAAAUUACUUUUUUUAGGGGGAGAAGCCACUACAAUAGCUUGCUAUUGGGCUUCUCAAGUGUCGNNNNNNNN